UUGCUUUGGCAGCACGUAAGCUAAAAUUGGAAUGAUACAGAGAAUAGCACGGCCCCUGUGCAAGGGUGACACGCAGAUGAUGAAGCUUUCAGGGUAAUA
rnacentral:snRNA from 1 species